rnacentral:rRNA from 1 species
UAGGGAAUCUUCGGCAAUGGACGAAAGUCUGACCGAGCAACGCCGCGUGAGUGAAGAAGGUUUUCGGAUCGUAAAACUCUGUUGUUAGAGAAGAACAAGGACGUUAGUAACUGAACGUCCCCUGACGGUAUCUAACCAGAAAGCCACGGCUAACUACGUGCCAGCAGCCGCGGUAAUACGUAGGUGGCAAGCGUCGUCCGGAUUUAUUGGGCGUAAAGCGAGCGCAGGCGGUUUCUUAAGUCUGAUGUGAAAGCCCCCGGCUCAACCGGGGAGGGUCAUUGGAAACUGGGAGACUUGAGUGCAGAAGAGGAGAGUGGAAUUCCAUGUGUAGCGGUGAAAUGCGUAGAUAUAUGGAGGAACACCAGUGGCGAAGGCGGCUCUCUGGUCUGUAACUGACGCUGAGGCUCGAAAGCGUGGGGAGCAAACAGG